ensembl:lncRNA
AUUAAAGCUCGCACUCCCAUGUGUGUAAUAACAAUAAAUUGAAUUGAACUGAGCCGAAUCGUUCAUCAUUCGCAGCUCUGCUAAUGAGCAAACCGUAUCAUGCCGCUGAAUUAUACGGCACCCGACUUACGAGAAUAAUUGCUUGCGAUGGACGAGAAAGGAAAGCAGGGGAAGGUUAGUGCCGGUGCUGUGUCGCGUGUUCGAAACAAACGUCCAGUCUAAAACAGCGCUGACCCCCGAGCUUUAUCUCGCACCGUGACUAAUGUUUUACAUGCACGUAUUCGUAUUCUUUUCCUCCCUGAUGAAGGACAUGCUGCUCAGUCGCUCAUGGACUUUCCUGAGCUUUGUGGAGCUGGUGAACACAUCUUAUCUUAUGGACGGAUCGAUUCGACUCCACGCGUCUCGGCCGAGUCGAGGUCGGGCGAGUGGUCGCGCCACUUCAUUACGCACAGCGCUGCCUCGUGCUGCCAUAAAUAUCCCUCAUACUGCUUUGAGACAAAGUCACACUGGGAGGAGUGAGUGAGACCGAGUGUGAGAGGGAGGAGAGGGAACGAGAGAGAAAGAGUGAAGAUUGAUAUUGUCGUUUACCCUUGGACGACCGGAGGACGCCACCGGCAUAACGAGUUCUGACACUUCAAUUAGCUUCUCGAAGAUAAACAAUGCAAAAAACUAGCAGGCUUGUUUUCUACAGCAAGACUUUCACUCUGAGGUUGAACAACGACAACAUGCCACAGUGUUCCCAUAAAUUGUAUCUUGAGACUUAAACUGACUGUAACCUGAACAUCGUGCCUGAGAGACGAAAUCCCCGAAGUCUGUAAAGCACCGAUUGGACUUUCCUUCAAGUGAAACUGCACUCUUAGAGAAAAAAAUUAAAUAACUAGAACUUUGAUGCCUCCACCGCCAACAUGUCUAGUUGUUUACUUGAAAUACCCUUAAAGUGCACCUAUUAUGGUUUUUCAGAUAUUAUCUUUCAUGUAUAUCUUUUCAGCUAUAUAUGUAGCUGUUUGUGAAUGUAAAAAGUCUGCAAAGUUUCAAAAAUCAAAGCACACGACAAAGAGUUAUCGACUCCCAAACGAAGGAAUCGAUUCUGAACAGCUGAUUCGAGUCGUUAAUGAUUCCUACGUAGGUUUGUAACGAAAUACCCUGCCUCUGAUCUUCAUCUGCUGCUCACUGACAGACAGAGCUGAUGCUCAUUACGGUAGUGGUGUUUCCUUUUUGAAACGCUCUGACGGCGGGAGAACGAUCACAACACACUGGGACGUCUAACCAAUCAGAGCAGAGUAUGCUCUCUGAAAGGAGGAGUUU